rnacentral:rRNA from 1 species
AUGGGCUCGACUCUCCAUUUGGGCGGGCACCCUUUCGGCGGCCCUGGUGGUCUUGGGAUUGCUGGAGAUUGGGGCGGACGCAGGAUCAAGGGGCUGCUAGCGCCUGCUGGUGGUGUGGCUGCCCCGUUCGUACAGUCCAGACCAAUUGAUGCUCAGGCCAUGCAUGACGCGCCAGCUCGAUGGGUCGCUAUGGGCAUGAUGGCCUCACGNNNNNNNNNNNNNNNNNNNNNNNNNNNNNNNNNNNNNNNNNNNNNNNNNNNNNGGGAUACGGUCGUGGGCCCUGUGGACGGUGUGCUCACGGAGGCUGCGCAGGGGCCUCUCAGCGAUGCAUCUUCAGCAAUGGGCUUGGCAGCUCACACGCCCACAGUGGAUGCACGACAUCAACACGGCAGGGAUACCGCUUCAGCGGGUGGCACACAUUGUCGCUCGGGUUGUGCCACUACGGCAGUGGGCUCAGCGGCCGGUGUUGCCACGCCGGUCCUGCCAUGGUCGGUGGCCUCUAUGGCUGUGGGCUCGACAGCUUGUGUCGCGACGCCUCCAUCAGGACGAGUCACGCUAUGCCAAGUGGUGUCGCCGCGCCAGCUCUCCUUCGCAUCGGAGGCAUGUACACAGGGCGGGGUGGAGGACGGCAAUCUGGUGUGUGCGUCCUCGCAUGGCACGCCUCCUCGCCAGCUGCUGGUAUGCCCUGUGCCAGUCGAGAUAGCAAAGGAGGCGCCUCCCUCAGCUGAUGGUGUUAUGGAGAUGCUGCAAACUAUGUCGGAUGUUGAGUCCCUGCACCUCAAGGCACUGAAGUUGCCACAACAGUCUAGACAGUCAAGGUCCUCUUGCUCGAGCCCGGUGCGCACGCCUUUUGCAACCCCGUUGAGCCCGAGCAAGCUGCUUCCACCCCUGGCACAUGAAGCUAAUUUGGACAUGGUGCUUGGUCCAAAAACGGCUGUAGACACGCUACUUGAGGGGAUUGGUGCCACCCCCGUACCAUCCAUCAUGGGGCCGAGGCCGGCUGCAUCGGCUCUGGUGCGACGCAAAAAGACUCUACCACCGAACUUCACCCCUCGCAGGAGUGCGCGGCUAAAUAAAGAUGACGAUGGCUUGAACAAGGGGCCUUACCACCGUGCCCAAACUAUGUUGCUUCGUCGCAUGGGUUUAAUUGAAGCUGAGGAACAGAUGACACAGAAAGCGAUGGAUGAAUACUUGAAGCUGUUCGACAAGCCGUUGGCUCCACACCAUAUCAAGGCAAUUACUGCUCUUUUCGCCCCGGAUGAAGUGGACUUUGAUGAACCUGCUCAUGAGGGCUUUAGUGCUUUCUCCCUCCCUGCGGCUGUCGAACUGUGUGGUGUGUAG